CCCAUCAGCAAUCAAUAUCGUCACCUAAACCUCCAUUCCAAAUUCGCAACUCCCUUCUUUAAUACCCUCACCUGACCUCCAUAUCAAAUUCAAAUGCUCCAAUCUUCCUUGUAACACUAGAAUUUACACUCUUGUUAAGAUCAAUGGCUGCGGAGCUCAAGUCUGAAUCCGUUUUUGAUCUCCUCAAGCGAUUCCUCGAGACCGACGAGGGUAUUGAACUUAGAAAGAAGAUCAACCUCGUCUAUCAGUUCAAUAUCGCCCCCAAGGUAAUCCGCCUUCCCAUUUCUUUGUGCUUUUUAUGCGUAUAUGUUUUCGCCCUCUCAUUUUUUUCUCUACCAACUGCAGAAAAUUGGGAUAGAUGAGGUGUCAUAUACUGUUAAUCUCAAGAAAGGAGAGGUUAAUAAAGGUUUGGGUUUUUGAUUUCGUGUAGUAAUUUCUAUACGUUUUAUGAAUUUUUGUAUAUAAUUUUGGUCGAUUGCUUUUGUUUUUUUUAUUUUUUCUGGGUUUUGCUUUGUUCCUGGAAUAUGAUCGCAAUUCGAUAUGGGUAGGCAAAAUUCACUGUCAAAUGAAAAUGUGGGAUCUUUUAUUUCCAACACUGAACAGUUGAAGGUUGUUUUGUUGCUUUAGUUUAUAAACUAUUUUUGGCCCCACUUUCCUUCUUUUUGGCAAAAGAAUAUCUUUAGUCUUUGGCUUAAAGACUGAUAUUCGUAUUUUUUCGCCAUCUUGUCCCAAGACAACCUCAAAAUCUUUUUUUGCAAAACAUUCAAGUUUGGUCUUAAGUCUGUUGUAACAAUAGGUCAAUAGAACUUUUUGAUUUGAUGUGAGGUGGAGGGGAAUGCCAUGGUUUGAACCUUUCACCUUGUAUAUUCUGUGAGGUCUCUUUGAAUAUGCCAUACUAAUGAAAACAGACUCAGUUGUCCUGAAAGGAAAAAAAAAAAAAAAAAGCUUUUACAAAAUAAAUUACAUGAUUAGUAGAAAGAAAUGGACUAUCACCAGAGAAAGGAAGACUCCUGGAAGGAAAAAAGACAAGUAAAAUUUAUCUGGAGGUGAUCCUACAUUGAAUUAUCAUAUACAAAACUGAAUAUAGUUUAUAGUUUACUUCUGGAUGGA
rnacentral:misc_RNA from 1 species